GCCGGGGUGGUGAAAUUGGUAUACACGUACGCUUGAGGUGCGUAUGCCGAAAGGUGUGCAGGUUCAAGUCCUGUCCCCGGCACUA
rnacentral:tRNA from 1 species